GAAAUUAAGAAAUAGACAAACUAACCAACCAAAAUGGCCUCUAGCUACAUCCAUCACGUCAUUCCGGCUAUACCCAUAGCACCGUCCCGACCACACCCUAACGUUCGACUACACCGAUGCAACCCAGAGCUCCAAUCAUGUCGAAAAUUGCUCCAAAUUUUUAUAGUGUACAUGACCCAAAACAAGGAGAAAUUUUUGGGAGUGACGGGAACACCAACUCAACAAAGCCAGGUGGUGUUCCCAACCUAUUAAAUGUUGACAGCUAGAUGUUAUCAUUUGUUAACUAAAAAAAUACUUGAAAAAGCUGCAAACUCAAAAACCAAAAGAUUCCUCAUAACUUUGUCUCCGUUUCUUUGUUUCAAAUCAAAAGCUUCUUGCGACCUUCAAGGGAAGUUGCAGACUCAAUUCCCUCUUCUUUCUUUGAAAAAUAACAACAAUUCCCUCCAUUUAUCACAGACUCAAACCCAUACAAAAGUAGCUUUCUGCAGGUAGACUCAAAGAGAUGGAGGAGGAAGAGGUGGAGGAGGAGCCCUGCGUGGAGUUCGGGACGAGGAAUUAGAAGGCUGGAGGUUGAGCUGGGCCCUGGAGUUCACGGAUCUCAGCCACCCAUUUGCCCCAGCUCCGCUGACGCACGCCGCGUUUAGGGGUUUUCCUGGAUGGAGACUUGGCCUCACAUAACAAGGCUACCAGCAAUCUAAAGUCCAUCUUCUUCCUCAUCCUUAUGGUUUUUAGUCUUUGUCAUUUAAUUGGUGUAGCUUUGCUAGGAUCUCUGUUCCGGCAGUGUGUGAUUAGUGCUAAUGGAAUUUCAGCACUGUUUCUGAGCUGUUGUUCGAAUUGUUGUAUCAAAGUAUGCAUUAGACAUUCAAUUAAGCUAAUGAAGCAUGUGUGCCAACGAAUUUUGAAGAGUUUGGCUUGCUUUUCUCUCUUUGUUCUUUAAUAUUUAAGUGUGAGGCACCUGUUUGUUGAUGAACUAAGUCCCGUCUCUAAGUUUUUUAGUAGAUAUUGUGUAAUUUGCUUAUAUGAGCACUUCUUUAUGUUGUCAAGUUCCCAAAAUGUACAAGGAGAUAUCAAGUUUAACAAGUCACAAACUGUGAUCAAUCCAAAUGCAGUGAAAUUAA